rnacentral:lncRNA from 1 species
CCCAAAUCAAAAUGAAGUUGGUAGUUGCUAUAUUUUCUAUAUUUUGUAACUUUCUGAUUGUCAAAGAGCUUGUUGGUGAACCUGAAUCAUAUUGCCAGGAUGAUUACUUUAAAUGUUCUAAUUUAAAGUGCGUUCCUUUUCGUUUUAAAUGCGAUAACUCUAAUGACUGUGGGGAUAACAGCGAUGAGUCCGAUUGCAAAG